rnacentral:rRNA from 1 species
UACGGGGGGGGCAAGCGUUGUUCGGAAUUACUGGGCGUAAAGGGCGUGUAGGCGGCCAUCUAAGUCCGACGUGAAAUCCCCAGGCUUAACCUGGGAACUGCGUCGGAUACUGGAUGGCUUGAAUCCGGGAGAGGGAUGCAGAAUUCCAGGUGUAGCGGUGAAAUGCGUAGAUAUCUGGAGGAAUACCGGUGGCGAAGGCGGCAUCCUGGACCGGCAUUGACGCUGAAGCGCGAAAGCUAGGGGAGCAAACGGG